CUUUUGGCAGUUUUGCAUACGUGUUUUAUAAAAGCCCAAUUUUCUUACUUCCACAACGUGUAAAACUUUAUUAAUAAGAACAAAAAUUUGUAAUAGUAAACAGUGUAUUUAUUAUAAAGGAUUUUUCGUUUUUCUGACAUUCUGCUCUUCCGUUCUCCGUGUGCUCCGUGUGCUCCGUGCUCCGUACUCCGUGUUUUACUAAUAGCCGACAUUUUAAGGUUUGCCGAUCCACGACUCGAAAUCAAAGUUCGAGUUGACGGGAUAAAUUUGACCAAGGUAAAACAAAAUUUGUUCGAAUUGGCGAGGAGUUCGAGUUAAGCGAGUUUGAGUUAGCGGGGGACUACUGUAAUAGUAAUUUAUACCAACCUUAGCUCCAGGAUAUGAUUAUCCAGUCCAGUCCGUGUUUUACAAAUUCAGUCCGCGAUUUGUAAAACACGGACUCAGUCCGCGUUUUCCCGG